UACGGAAGGCAGCAGUGGGGAAUAUUGCACAAUGGGCGAAAGCCUGAUGCAGCUAUGCCGCGUGUAUGAAGAAGGCCUUAGGGUUGUAAAGUACUUUCAUCGGGGAGGAAAAACAAAACUAAUAAUUUUAUUUCUUGACGUUACCCGAAAAAGAAGCACCGGCUAACUCCGUGCCAGCAGCCGCGGUAAUACGGAGGGUGCUAGCGUUAAUCAGAAUUACUGGGCGUAAAGAGCACGUAGGUGGUUUUUUUAAGUCAGAUGUGAAUCCCUGGGCUUAACCUAGGAACUGCAUUUUGAAACUGAAAUACUAGAGUAUCGUAGAGGGAGGUAGAAUUCUAGGUGUAGCGGUGAAAUGCGUAGAUAUCUGGAGGAAUACCUGUGGCGAAAGCGGCCUCCUAAACGAAUACUGACACUGAGGUGCGAAAGCGUGGGGAGCAAACAGGGAUUAAUACC
rnacentral:rRNA from 1 species